GAUGAACGCUAGCGACAGGCUUAAUACAUGCAAGUCGAGCGCAGGAAACUGACGGAACUCUUCGGAGGGAAGGCAGCGGAAUGAGCGGCGGACGGGUGAGUAACACGUAAGGAACCUGCCUCAAGGAUUGGGAUAACUCCGAGAAAUCGGAGCUAAUACCGGAUAGUUCAACGGACCGCAUGGUCCGUUGAUGAAAGGCGCUCCGGCGUCACCUUGAGAUGGCCUUGCGGUGCAUUAGCUAGUUGGUGGGGUAACGGCCCACCAAGGCGACGAUGCAUAGCCGACCUGGGAGGGUGAUCGGCCACACUGGGACUGAGACACGGCCCAGACUCCUACGGGAGGCAGCAGUAGGGAAUCUUCCACAAUGGACGAAAGUCUGAUGGAGCAACGCCGCGUGAGUGAUGAAGGUUUUCGGAUCGUAAAACUCUGUUGUAAGGGAAGAACACGUACGAGAGGAAAUGCUCGUACCUUGACGGUACCUUACGAGAAAGCCACGGCUAACUACGUGCCAGCCGCCGCCGUAAGAC
rnacentral:rRNA from 1 species